rnacentral:rRNA from 1 species
GACGAACGCUGGCGGCGUGCUUAACACAUGCAAGUCGAACGGAAGGCCCUUCGGGGUACACGAGUGGCGAACGGGUGAGUAACACGUGGGUGAUCUGCCCUGCACUUCGGGAUAAGCCUGGGACACUGGGUCUAAUACCGGAUAGGACCACUGCCUGCAUGGGUGGUGGUGGAAAGCUUUUGCGGUGUGGGAUGGGCCCGCGGCCUGACGGCUUGUUGGUGGGGUGAGGGCUUACCAAGGCGCCGACGGGUAGCCGGCCUGAGAGGGUGACCGGUCACACUGGGACUGAGAGACGGCCCAGGCUCCUACGGGAGGCAGCAGUGGGGAAUAUUGCACAAUGGGCGCAAGCCUGAUGCAGCGACGCCGCGUGAGGGAUGACGGCCUUCGGGUUGUAAACCUCUUUCAGCACCGACGAAGCGCAAGUGACGGUAGGUGCAGAAGAAGGACCGGCCAACUACGUGCCAGCCGCCGCCGUAA